rnacentral:rRNA from 1 species
CAUUAAAGAGUUCUAUAACUCCCAAACCCAUGUGAACAUACCUAACGUUGCCUCGGCAGGUCGCACCUACCUUGUAGCACCCUACCCUGUAGGGCCUACCCGGGAGGUGCGGGUAAGCCUGCCGGCGGCCCACCAAACUCUGUUUGAUAUUGAAUUCUGAACCUAUAACUAAAUAAGUUAAAACUUUCAACAACGGAUCUCUUGGUUCUGGCAUCGAUGAAGAACGCAGCGAAAUGCGAUAAGUAAUGUGAAUUGCAGAAUUCAGUGAAUCAUCGAAUCUUUGAACGCAUAUUGCGCCCAUUAGUAUUCUAGUGGGCAGGACCGUUCGAGCGUCAUUUCAACCCUUAAGCCUUCGUUGCUUAGUGUUGGGAGCCUACGGCAACGUAGCUCCUCAAAGUUAGUGGCGGAGUUGGUUCACACUCUAGACGUAGUAAUUUUUUAUCUCGCCUAUUAGUUGGACUAAUCCCCUGCCGUAAAACCCCCAAUUUAUCAAGGUUGACCUCGAAUCGGUUCAGACAAACUCGCUAAAUUGAAGCAUCUUAGUCAGCGAAGGAAAAGAAACCAACAGGGAUUGCCCUAGUAACGGCGAGUGAAGCGGCAACAGCUCAAAUUUGAAAUCUGGCCCUCGGGUCCGAGUUGUAAUUUGUAGAGGAUGCUUUUGGCGCGGUGCCUUCCGAGUUCCCUGGAACGGGACGCCUUAGAGGGUGAGAGCCCCGUACGGUUGGACACCAAGCCUCUGUAAAGCUCCUUCGACGAGUCGAGUAGCUUGGGAAUGCUGCUCUAAAUGGGAGG